rnacentral:rRNA from 1 species
GUGGGGAAUCUUCCACAAUGGACGAAAGUCUGAUGGAGCAACGCCGCGUGAGUGAAGAAGGGUUUCGGCUCGUAAAGCUCUGUUGUCGGGGACGAAUGUGCAGUAUUUGAAUAAAGUAGUGCAAUGACGGUACCUGACGAGGAAGCCACGGCUAACUACGUGCCAGCAGCCGCGGUAAUACGUAGGUGGCAAGCGUUGUCCGGAAUUAUUGGGCGUAAAGGGAGCGCAGGCGGGAAGGUAAGUCGGUCUUAAAAGUGCGGGGCUCAACCCCGUGAUGGGAUCGAAACUAUCUUUCUUGAGUGCAGUAGAGGAAAGUGGAAUUCCUAGUGUAGCGGUGAAAUGCGUAGAUAUUAGGAGGAACACCAGUGGCGAAGGCGACUUUCUGGACUGUAACUGACGCUGAGACUCGAAAGCCAGGGGAGCGAACGGGAUUAGAUACCCCUGUAGUCC